CCUACGGGAGGCUGCAGUGGGGAAUAUUGCACAAUGGGGGGAACCCUGAUGCAGCGACGCCGCGUGAAGGAAGAAGUAUUUCGGUAUGUAAACUUCUAUCAGCAGGGAAGAAAAUGACGGUACCUGACUAAGAAGCCCCGGCUAACUACGUGCCAGCAGCCGCGGUAAUACGUAGGGGGCAAGCGUUAUCCGGAUUUACUGGGUGUAAAGGGAGCGUAGACGGCAGCGCAAGUCUGGAGUGAAAUGCCGGGGCCAAACCCCGGAACUGCUUUGGAAACUGUGCAGCUGGAGUGCAGGAGAGGUAAGCGGAAUUCCUAGUGUAGCGGUGAAAUGCGUAGAUAUUAGGAGGAACACCAGUGGCGAAGGCGGCUUACUGGACUGUAACUGACGUUGAGGCUCGAAAGCGUGGGGAGCAAACAGGAUUAGAUACCCUUGUAGUC
rnacentral:rRNA from 1 species